CCCUUAGAUGUUCUGGGCCGCACGCGCGCUACACUGAUGCAUUCAACGAGCACCCGCUGGGCCGAGAGGUCCGGCUAAUCUUUGAACGUGCAUCGUGCUGGGGAUAGAUGAUUGCAAUUAUUCAUCUUCAACGAGGAAUUCCUAGUAAACGCAAGUCAUCAGCUUGCAUUGAUUACGUCCCUGCCCUUUGUACACACCGCCCGUCGCACCUACCGAUUGAAUGGUCCGGUGAGGCUUUCGGAGGUGCACUAUGUUUCUGGCAACAGUUCGUAGAGCAGCAAAGUUAUCCUAACCUUAUCAUUUAGAGGAAGGAGAANUCGUANCA
rnacentral:rRNA from 1 species